CUUAUCCAAAGAAGAAAGAACAACAAUGUGGCGUGGCCAUAGACACCUUGCACCACAGCCUCUGCAGGACCAAAUUGACAGCUCUUUAAAGGCGUCUGACGAAAAGCAGCAUUAAUUAAGUCAUUGCCGGACUGUAAUUGUGUUAAGAAGUAAAAAUCUAAUAUGAGAAAAGUUUUGAUGAUCAUAUCGGGAGGAGGGAUGCUACUGGCAUCUAGUGGGUAGAGACCAGAGAUGCUGCUUAACAUCCUGCAGUGUACAGGACAGCCCCACAGCAAAGACUUCUCCGGCCCAAAUGUUGAUAGUGCAAAGGGCGACAAACCCUGGCACAUGCCAAGUUGAAGGGUCGCUGCUUUGGAUUAAUACCAUACAUAGGAUUCCAGCCACAUGGCCUUCUUCCAUUUCUUUGAGUCAGCAAAACUCCUUCCUGCAUAUUCUGUUUUGUGGGGGCUGAGAAAUACUCUUUGCGCUGCCUCAUCCUGAUCUGUCUCAAAUAACCCUUUCAGUGAUGGCCUAAUGUUACCUCCUCCAGGAAGCCCUCCCUGACAUCUUUCUUCUCCUCAAAGUUGGAUCAUUUUCUCCUGUUUCAUAUUAUCACUGCACUAAUUUCUUCUCCUC